CGACGCGUUGGCCCAAUUGAUUGAUGGUGCUUGCACCUGAUUGAUUUUGGUCGCCAACGAGUGGCGGACGGGUGAGUAACACGUAGGUAACCUGCCCAGAAGCGGGGGACAACAUUUGGAAACAGAUGCUAAUACCGCAUAACAACGUUGUUCGCAUGAACAACGCUUAAAAGAUGGCUUCUCGCUAUCACUUCUGGAUGGACCUGCGGUGCAUUAGCUUGUUGGUGGGGUAAUGGCCUACCAAGGCGAUGAUGCAUAGCCGAGUUGAGAGACUGAUCGGCCACAAUGGGACUGAGACACGGCCCAUACUCCUACGGGAGGCAGCAGUAGGGAAUCUUCCACAAUGGGCGCAAGCCUGAUGGAGCAACACCGCGUGAGUGAAGAAGGGUUUCGGCUCGUAAAGCUCUGUUGUUAAAGAAGAACACGUAUGAGAGUAACUGUUCAUACGUUGACGGUAUUUAACCAGAAAGUCACGGCUAACUACGUGCCAGCAGCCGCGGUAAUACGUAGGUGGCAAGCGUUAUCCGGAUUUAUUGGGCGUAAAGAGAGUGCAGGCGGUUUUCUAAGUCUGAUGUGAAAGCCUUCGGCUUAACCGGAGAAGUGCAUCGGAAACUGGAUAACUUGAGUGCAGAAGAGGGUAGUGGAACUCCAUGUGUAGCGGUGGAAUGCGUAGAUAUAUGGAAGAACACCAGUGGCGAAGGCGGCUACCUGGUCUGCAACUGACGCUGAGACUCGAAAGCAUGGGUAGCGAACAGGAUUAGAUACCCUGGUAGUCCAUGCCGUAAACGAUGAGUGCUAGGUGUUGGAGGGUUUCCGCCCUUCAGUGCCGGAGCUAACGCAUUAAGCACUCCGCCUGGGGAGUACGACCGCAAGGUUGAAACUCAAAGGAAUUGACGGGGGCCCGCACAAGCGGUGGAGCAUGUGGUUUAAUUCGAAGCUACGCGAGAAC
rnacentral:rRNA from 2 species